rnacentral:rRNA from 1 species
AUUGAACGCUGGCGGCAAGCCUAACACAUGCAAGUCGAACGAGUGGCGGACGGGUGAGUAAUGUCUGGGAAACUGCCUGAUGGUGGGGGAUAACUACUGGAAACGGUAGCUAAUACCGCAUACCAUCGGAUGUUCCCCGCUGGGAUUAGCUAGUAGGUGUGGUAACGGCUGACCUAGGCGACGAUCCCUAGCUGGUCUGAGAGGAUGAUCAGCAACACUGGAACUGAGACACGGUCCAGACUGCUACGGGAGGCAGCAGUGGGGAAUAUUGCACAAUGGGCGCAAGCCUGAUGCAGCCAUGCCGCGUGUAGGAAGAAGGCCUUCGGGUUGUAAAGUACUUUCAGCGGGGAGGCGUUACCCGCAGAAGAAGCACCGGCUAACUCCGUGCCAGCAGCCGCGGUAAUUC